rnacentral:rRNA from 1 species
AUGUUACCUUGAUUGGGUGCGUAGGGUGGCCAGCAAGUUUACCUUGAAAAAAUUAGAGUGCUCAAUGCGGGCUAAUGCCUGAAUACUCGUGCAUGGAAUAAUGAAAUAGGAUCUCGGUUCUAUUUUGUUGGUUUUCUGAUCUGAGAUAAUGGUUAAGAGGGACGGACGGGGGCAUUCGUAUCGCUGCGUGAGAGGUGAAAUUCUUGGACCGUAGCGAGACGUCCAACUGCGAAAGCAUUUGCCAAGAAUGUCUUCAUUAAUCAAGAACGAAAGUCAGAGGUUCGAAGGCGAUCAGAUACCGCCCUAGUUCUGACCGUAAACGAUACCAACUAGCGUUCCGUCGGCGGUAAAUACGCCUUGACGGGCAGCUUCCCGGAAACGAAAGUUUUUCGGUUCCGGGGGAAGUAUGGUUGCAAAGCUGAAACUUAAAGAAAUUGACGGAAGGGCACCACCAGGAGUGGAGCCUGCGGCUUAAUUUGACUCAACACGGGAAAACUCACCUGGCCCGGACACCGUGAGGAUUGACAGAUUGAGAGCUCUUUCAUGAUUCGGUGGUUGGUGGUGCAUGGCCGUUCUUAGUUGGUGGAGUGAUUUGUCUGGUUUAUUCCGAUAACGAGCGAGACUCUAGCCUACUAAAUAGUUACUGAAUAAUUUUGUCCAGAAAACUUCUUAGAGGGACAAGCGGUGUUUAGCCGCAUGAAGUUGAGCAAUAACAGG